AUUGAACGCUGGCGGCAGGCCUAACACAUGCAAGUCGAACGGUAACAGAAAGCAGCUUGCUGCUUUGCUGACGAGUGGCGGACGGGUGAGUAAUGUCUGGGAAACUGCCUGAUGGAGGGGGAUAACUACUGGAAACGGUAGCUAAUAUCGCAUAACGUCGCAAGACCAAAGAGGGGGACCUUCGGGCCUCUUGCCAUCGGAUGUGCCCAGAUGGGAUUAGCUAGUAGGUGGGGUAACGGCUCACCUAGGCGACGAUCCCUAGCUGGUCUGAGAGGAUGACCAGCCACACUGGAACUGAGACACGGUCCAGACUCCUACGGGAGGCAGCAGUGGGGAAUAUUGCACAAUGGGCGCAAGCCUGAUGCAGCCAUGCCGCGUGUAUGAAGAAGGCCUUCGGGUUGUAAAGUACUUUCAGCGGGGAGGAAGGGAGUAAAGUUAAUACCUUUGCUCAUUGACGUUACCCGCAGAAGAAGCACCGGCUAACUCCGUG
rnacentral:rRNA from 1 species